rnacentral:rRNA from 1 species
UACGUAGGGGGCAAGCGUUGUCCGGAAUCAUUGGGCGUAAAGCGCGUGUAGGCGGCUUGGUAAGUCCGCUCUGAAAGCCCGGGGCUCAACCCCGGGAGGCGGGUGGAUACUGUCAAGCUCGAGUCCGGAAGAGGCGAGUGGAAUUCCUGGUGUAGCGGUGAAAUGCGCAGAUAUCAGGAGGAACACCCGUGGCGAAAGCGGCUCUCUGGGACGGUACUGACGCUGAGGAGCGAAAGCGUGGGGAGCGAACAGG